rnacentral:rRNA from 1 species
CGCGCAGGCGGUUUUAUAAGUCAGAUGUGAAAGCCCACGGCUCAACCGUGGAAGUGCAUUUGAAACUGUAAGACUUGAGUACCAGAGGGGGUAGUGGAAUUCCCGGUGUAGAGGUGAAAUUCGUAGAUAUCGGGAGGAAUACCGGUGGCGAAGGCGACUACCUGGCUGGAUACUGACGCUGAGGCGCGAAAGCGUGGGGAGCAAACAGGAUUAGAUACCCUGGUAGUCC